rnacentral:rRNA from 1 species
GAUGAACGCUGGCGGCGUGCCUAAUACAUGCAAGUCGAGCGAACAGAUGAGGAGCUUGCCCUCUGACGUUAGCGGCGGCCGGGUGAGUAACCCGUGGAUAACCUACCUAUAAGACUGGGAUAACUUCGGGAAACCGGAGCUAAUACCGGAUAAUAUAUUUAACCGCAUGGUUCAAUAGUGAAAGACGGUUUUGCUGUCACUUAUAGAUGGAUCCGCGCCGCAUUAGCUAGUUGGUAAGGUAACGGCUUACCAAGGCAACGAUGCGUAGCCGACCUGAGAGGGUGAUCGGCCACACUGGAACUGAGACACGGUCCAGACUCCUACGGGAGGCAGCAGUAGGGAAUCUUCCGCAAUGGGCGAAAGCCUGACGGAGCAACGCCGCGUGAGUGAUGAAGGUCUUCGGAUCGUAAAACUCUGUUAUUAGGGAAGAACAAAUGUGUAAGUAACUAUGCACGUCUUGACGGUACCUAAUCAGAAAGCCACGGCUAACUACGUG